UGGCAGAGCAGCGGCAGAGGCCAGAAUGACAGAAAAAAACCAGUUCCUGCUCUUACAGCCGCUGCAAUUACCGCUCACAGCAUACUACAUAUAGGUAGUAUAGUGUGUGGCCUGUGUGUGUGGCUGCCAGAUUAGAAUUCGCAUCGCCUCAGUUUGGUCGCCAUUUUCAGCAGGCCUGCCUCUGGUGACGUAGGAAAUGAAAUGAAAUUCCUGGCGGUCCCCGCACUCACUAAUUGGCAGGCAAAACACACAGUUUGGAUUACUAUUUUUCUGCCCACCAGACGUUUGGAAAUCCCUCGCAUGACACACAACUAAAAGCGGUUCGAGGAAAGUCAUAGACAGCUCUGAUUGAGCACACUAGAAAGCCGCUUGGAAGUCGAUUCAAACUGGACUUGGAUUUCAAACGAGCAGGAGAUUUAGGGUCGUUUUCUCGUUCACAUGCUAAAUUUAAGCCAGGUUUAAAACAUUGAAAAUGGUAAUUCAUAGAUAAAGGUGUACUUUAAGCUAAACAUGUAGACGAGAAAAUUUCUGCUAGCGGACCUUAGCAUGUUUGAUUAAAUCGCUGAAAGGAGAGUUUGCAAGCUUUUUUGUAUCGAGGUGGUGAAUGUUGGAAUACCUUAUAACAUUGUUAUCUAAACGGAUUUUUUUUGUACCCAGUUUAAGUGGCCAGAUUCUUCUCAUUCUAUUCAGUUCGGACUAACAAAUCUCAUCUGAUAUUGCCAUUUAAGGCUCAAUUAAUCUUUGAACUUGACUGUGAAUGUGGGUACAACUUUAUUACUGCCAACGCCUAUUAGACAUUGCGAAAUGGUCGAAUUUACGACUGGCCAUGUCUGAGGAGACUGUGGCCAAGAGCGAUUGCAACUACGACAUUUAAUGGGGAUUUGAUUGCUUGUGCUUCGUACCGUGCGAAAGUAGAAUUGCAAUUAAGAAUUGAAUUUCAAAUAAAGCUAGGAUCGAAGUGGAUGCAAUUUGUAGAUCGAUGCUGUAGCUGUCAGUCAAGUCGAUCUUCAUGCUUAUAAGUAGGUACAUGUGAGAGGGACUUCUCUACGGCUAACGUAUGCUGGCAGUCAUGUUUUCCCAUUACAAAGUCGGUGUGAAAAUUUGCAGUUAAAGUAUGACAGCGAGGCGCCUGUCCCCUGACUUUUAAGUCAAUCAUUACUCAAUAGAUACACCGCUUUUUAAUGCAGUGGAGCUCGUUGAAAUCUCAGAACAAAGUGGACUUCAUAAAUAGUAGACAAGUAUCGAAGUCGAUCAUUGUUUGCAAAGCCAAGGUUAAUCAGUUAAUUGAUUAAAUGCUCAAAGAAAGUCCAUGCCCAUUCAAAUGUUCAGGAAUCCGAAAAUAUUACUAUGUGUAUCCAAUUGAUCGACUAUUAAUUAGCAAGUUAUGGGUGUUCCGCACAAGAAUAAACUUUAGCAGAAAUCCAAACUGAGAUGCGGGUAAGAAUUUGGAGCUGUCAAAUGGCAUCAUUACCGCACAAUGUGGUCUUAUUUGCAUUUAUAUGAGUUUGAUUUUAUAGAAUAUAAAAUAUGACAGCUUGAUCGGUUCAAUAAUUAAUUUAUGAGCUUCAGAAUGGUUAAGUCAGUGACUUUUAAUUUUAAUGGCAGGCAUUAAUUAACGUAUA